rnacentral:rRNA from 1 species
UUAGAGUUUGAUCCUGGCUCAGGAUGAACGCUAGAACAGGCUUAACACAUGCAAGUCGAGGGGAAACGAUAGAGAAAGCUUGCUUUUUCUAGGCGUCGACCGGCGCACGGGUGAGUAACGCGUAUCCAACCUGCCCACCACUUGGGAAUAACCUUGCGAAAGUAAGACUAAUACCCAAUGAUAUCUCUAGAAGACAUCUGAAAGAGAUUAAAGAUUUAUCGGUGAUGGAUGGGGAUGCGUCUGAUUAGCUUGUUGGCGGGGUAACGGCCCACCAAGGCGACGAUCAGUAGGGGUUCUGAGAGGAAGGUCCCCCACAUUGGAACUGAGACACGGUCCAAACUCCUACGGGAGGCAGCAGUGAGGAAUAUUGGUCAAUGGGCGAGAGCCUGAACCAGCCAAGUAGCGUGCAGGAUGACGGCCCUAUGGGUUGUAAACUGCUUUUAUAAGGGAAUAAAGUGAGCCUCGUGAGACUUUUUGCAUGUACCUUAUGAAUAAGGACCGGCUAAUUCCGUGCCAGCAGCCGCGGUAAUACGGAAGGUCCGGGCGUUAUCCGGAUUUAUUGGGUUUAAAGGGAGCGUAGGCCGGAGAUUAAGCGUGUUGUGAAAUGUAGACGCUCAACGUCUGCACUGCAGCGCGAACUGGUUUCCUUGAGUACGCACAAAGUGGGCGGAAUUCGAGGUGUAGCGGUGAAAUGCUUAGAUAUCACGAAGAACUCCGAUUGCGAAGGCAGCUCACUGGAGCGCAACUGACGCUGAAGCUCGAAAGUGCGGGUAUCGAACAGGAUUAGAUACCCUGGUAGUCCGCACGGUAAACGAUGGAUGCCCGCUGUUGGUCUGAAUAGGUCAGCGGCCAAGCGAAAGCAUUAAGCAUCCCACCUGGGGAGUACGCCGGCAACGGUG